rnacentral:rRNA from 1 species
CCUACGGGUGGCAGCAGUGAGGAAUAUUGGUCAAUGGGCGAGAGCCUGAACCAGCCAAGUCGCGUGAGGGAGUACUGCCCUAUGGGUUGUAAACCUCUUUUGUCGGGGAGCAAAAGCCGGACGUGUCCGGCUGUGAGAGUACCCGAAGAAAAAGCAUCGGCUAACUCCGUGCCAGCAGCCGCGGUAAUACGGAGGAGGCGAGCGUUAUCCGGAUUUAUUGGGUUUAAAGGGUGCGCAGGCGGAUUUUUAAGUCAGCGGUAAAAUCGUGGGGCUCAACCCCAUCCAGCCGUUGAAACUGGGGAUCUAGAGUGUGCGAGAGGUAUGCGGAAUGCGUGGUGUAGCGGUGAAAUGCAUAGAGAUCACGCAGAACCCCGAUUGCGAAGGCAGCAUACCGGUGCACAACUGACGCUCAGGCACGAAAGCGUGGGUAUCGAACAGGAUUAGAUACCCGGGUAGUC